rnacentral:rRNA from 1 species
CCACAGAUCAUGGCUCAGAUUGAACGCUGGCGGCAGGCUUAACACAUGCAAGUCGAACGGUAACAUGAGUGCUUGCACUUGAUGACGAGUGGCGGACGGGUGAGUAAAGUAUGGGGAUCUGCCGAAUGGAGGGGGACAACAGUUGGAAACGACUGCUAAUACCGCAUAAAGUUGAGAGACCAAAGCAUGGGACCUUCGGGCCAUGCGCCAUUUGAUGAACCCAUAUGGGAUUAGCUAGUUGGUAGGGUAAAGGCUUACCAAGGCGACGAUCUCUAGCUGGUCUGAGAGGAUGACCAGCCACACUGGAACUGAGACACGGUCCAGACUCCUACGGGAGGCAGCAGUGGGGAAUAUUGCACAAUGGGGGAAACCCUGAUGCAGCCAUGCCGCGUGUAUGAAGAAGGCCUUCGGGUUGUAAAGUACUUUCGGUAAUGAGGAAGGUGGUGUAUCUAAUAGGUGCAUCAAUUGACGUUAAUUACAGAAGAAGCACCGGCUAACUCCGUGCCAGCAGCCGCGGUAAUACGGAGGGUGCGAGCGUUAAUCGGAAUGACUGGGCGUAAAGGGCAUGUAGGCGGAUAAUUAAGUUAGGUGUGAAAGCCCUGGGCUCAACCUAGGAAUUGCACUUAAAACUGGUUAACUAGAGUAUUGUAGAGGAAGGUAGAAUUCCANGUGUAGCGGUGAAAUGCNUAGANAUNNGNAGGAANACCGGUGGCGAAGGCGGCCUUCUGGACAGAUACUGNCGCUGAGAUGCGAAAGCGUGGGGAGCAAACAGGAUUAGAUACCCUGGUAGUCCACGCUGUAAACGAUGUCGGGUGGUGGAGGUCGCUAGAUG